rnacentral:rRNA from 1 species
AUUGAACGCUGGCGGCAGGCUUAACACAUGCAAGUCGAGCGGGGUGAUGGUGCUUGCACUAUCACUUAGCGGCGGACGGGUGAGUAAUGCUUAGGAAUCUGCCUAUUAGUGGGGGACAACAUCUCGAAAGGGAUGCUAAUACCGCAUACGUCCUACGGGAGAAAGCAGGGGAUCACUUGUGACCUUGCGCUAAUAGAUGUGCCUAAGUCGGAUUAGCUAGUUGGUGGGGUAAAGGCCUACCAAGGCGUCGAUCUGUAGCGGGUCUGAGAGGAUGAGCCGCCACACUGGGACUGGAAAACGGCCCAGACUCCUACGGGAGGCAGCAGUGGGGAAUAUUGGACAAUGGGGGGAACCCUGAUCCAGCCAUGCCGCGUGUGUGAAGAAGGCCUUAUGGUUGUAAAGCACUUUAAGCGAGGAGGAGGCUCUUUUGGUUAAUACCCAAGAUGAGUGGACGUUACUCGCAGAAUAAGCACCGGCUAACUCUGUGCCAGCCGCCGCAGUAA